rnacentral:lncRNA from 1 species
UUGUGUUAAUUGUUAAUAGAUUUUUUUCAUAUUUCGGUGUGGGAUAAUUAUAACAGUUGAAAAUUUUUGUUAUAUUUUUUAUACAGUUUGACUUCAUUAAAAAUAAUUAAUUAAUACCCUUUUUACAAUAUAUCCAAGGAUCCCAUCGGAGGAUAUACAUAUUUACACUUAUAAAGUCAUCAUUUGUCAAGCAUUCAUAUAUAAAAUGAGCAAAAUACGGACCAAUGAAAACAAAUCAGAAAUCAAAAACAAAUAUGUCAAAACGACGCAGUUUGAAAGACUGCGCACAAAUAGAAUUUACACGACUAUAUAUAUAUAUAUGGACCCCCAUAAUCUAUGGUACAAAACUUUUAUAAUUUGGUAAAAUCGUAAAAUAUUUAUAUUUAAUUUUCAUGUCUCAAAUUUAUUUGUAGAAAAAGGUCAAACAAACAGUUUCCUAAUGUUAGGCAAGAUAAUAUUCUGUGUAGUAUUUUAAUUUUUUGGGGGAAAUGAAAUGUUUUGAUAUAAAUAUUAAUCCUUGAAAGAUGUUAAUAGUUGACCUAUUGUGCUCUAGUGGUUAUAUGACUAAAGUUUCAAAGUUGAGGUUGCGAGUUCAAACCAUUGGAGAGAUAAAUUUUUGGAAAAAAAUAGAAAGAAGCCACAUCAGAUCUGUCACUAAAACCACUAAAGUUCAGUAGUUGACUUUGUAUUUAAC